GCAGAGGAGUGGGCAGGGUUGGGAUAGCGCAAGUGAACUGAACUUCUGCGCUGGUCUUCAGAACCAUGCUCAAAAUGUUACUUCAUUAAGAAACGUGUUAAUUUGAAGAAACGAUUGCUGUGUUCCUUUAAUUUUAAUGGGGCGGUCCACCUGGUAAUUGGAUUCAUUAUAUUACCUUCGAUUGAGGCCAUUUGAUGGAAAACUUGAGCGCAUCGUGCGGCGCGUUUCUCAACAUGUCAGAUUUCUGAAUGCAGGUAAGCCACUGACUAACGCACAUUGCGCCUAUUCUCGAUUCCACUGUGCGUGUGACAGCGGCUAACCAGCUCUUGGAUGUGUCUCUGAGUUGAGCAGUCGUGGGAAUGCCCUUCGGAAGACUACUUCAUAUGUCGCGCUGAACGGGUAUAGCCCUUUAUUGGAUGUUUUCCUUCGCCAUUGUGGUAGUAGAGCCUACGUGCCAGAUGUCACAGUAAAGAACUUUCCAAGUACCAUAGAUUUUUCAUGAAUACCAAGCGCUACGGAAUCUUGACUGAACUCUGAUAUCGAGUUUUGAUAUGUAAUGCAAACCCGUCUUUAUGCGGGCACUUGUAUUUUAAUGUUGUUGUAUUUUCUUUACACGCUACUUACGUGUUUGACCCCUCUUUCAACCUCUUAAACUUUUCAAGUUAGUGUUAUUUGAACCAGUUUGUGAUUGGAAAUACCCAAAUGGUGAGCACACUAUAAUAGCGCUAUUUUGAGGACACUUUUAAAAGCUCAAAUGUGCACUGUACAUGUCAAAAUUAAAAUUUAUUUUAUGUAGA